UGGUGCCUUCGGGAACUCUGAGACAGGUGCUGCAUGGCUGUCGUCAGCUCGUGUUGUGAAAUGUUGGGUUAAGUCCCGCAACGAGCGCAACCCUUAUCCUUUGUUGCCAGCGGUUCGGCCGGGAACUCAAAGGAGACUCCCAGUGAUAAACUGGAGGAAGGUGGGGAUGACGUCAAGUCAUCAUGGCCCUUACGAGUAGGGCUACACACGUGCUACAAUGGCGUAUACAAAGAGAAGCGACCUCGCGAGAGCAAGCGGACCUCAUAAAGUACGUCGUAGUCCGGAUUGGAGUCUGCAACUCGACUCCAUGAAGUCGGAAUCGCUAGUAAUCGUAGAUCAGAAUGCUACGGUGAAUACGUUCCCGGGCCUUGUACACACCGCCCGUCACACCAUGGGAGUGGGUUGCAAAAGAAGUAGGUAGCUUAACCUUCGGGAGGGCG
rnacentral:rRNA from 1 species